rnacentral:rRNA from 1 species
UACGUAGGGGGCAAGCGUUGUCCGGAAUCAUUGGGCGUAAAGCGCGUGUAGGCGGCCCGGUAAGUCCGCUGUGAAAGUCCAGGGCUCAACCCUCGAAUGCCGGUGGAUACUGUCGGGCUAGAGUGCGGAAGAGGCGAGUGGAAUUCCUGGUGUAGCGGUGAAAUGCGCAGAUAUCAGGAGGAACACCUAUUGCGAAGGCAGCUCGCUGGGACGUAACUGACGCUGAGACGCGAAAGCGUGGGGAGCAAACAGG